UAUAGGUAGGUACUUAUCUUACCAUUUUGUUAAAUACCUAGGUACUUUUGUCCUCAUAAAAUAUCACGAUUUUUGCAUUAUUUUAAUAUUAUUACCUAUUUUAUUUAUGCUAAUUUAUUUUUAACGUAAUCAGUUGUACCUACACGCUAUCAAUGUUUUUUUUUAAAAAUGAUAAUUGAUUAUUAAAUAUACUUAAAUACCUAUCAUUAUUAAGCCACAAUUGUCUUGUAUAAUAAAAUGGCUUUGAAGUGUUUUCGUUGCGCUUACAAAAAAA